rnacentral:rRNA from 1 species
AGUGAACGCUGGCGGUAGGCCUAACACAUGCAAGUCGAACGGCAGCACAGUAAGAGCUUGCUCUUACGGGUGGCGAGUGGCGGACGGGUGAGGAAUACAUCGGAAUCUACUUUUUCGUGGGGGAUAACGUAGGGAAACUUACGCUAAUACCGCAUACGACCUACGGGUGAAAGCAGGGGAGCUUCGGACCUUGCGCGAUUGAAUGAGCCGAUGUCGGAUUAGCUAGUUGGGAGGGUAAAGGCACACCAAGGCGACGCUCCGUAGCUGGGCUGAGAGGAUGAUCAGCCACACUGGAACUGAGACACGGUCCAGACUCCUACGGGAGGCAGCAGUGGGGAAUAUUGGACAAUGGGCGCAAGCCUGAUCCAGCCAUGCCGCGUGGGUGAAGAAGGCCUUCGGGUUGUAAAGCCCUUUUGUUGGGAAAGAAAAGCAGCAGAUUAAUACCCCGCUGUUCUGACGGUACCCAAAGAAUAAGCACCGGCUAACUUCGUG